AGUGAACGCUGGCGGUAGGCCUAACACGUGCAAGUCGAACGGCAGCACAGUAAGAGCUUGCUCUUACGGGUGGCGAGUGGCGGACGGGUGAGGAAUACAUCGGAAUCUACUUUUUCGUGGGGGAUAACGUAGGGAAACUUACGCUAAUACCGCAUACGACCUACGGGUGAAAGCAGGGGAUCUUCGGACCUUGCGCGAUUGAAUGAGCCGAUGUCGGAUUAGCUAGUUGGCGGGGUAAAGGCCCACCAAGGCGACGAUCCGUAGCUGGUCUGAGAGGAUGAUCAGCCACACUGGAACUGAGACACGGUCCAGACUCCUACGGGAGGCAGCAGUGGGGAAUAUUGGACAAUGGGCGCAAGCCUGAUCCAGCCAUACCGCGUGGGUGAAGAAGGCCUUCGGGUUGUAAAGCCCUUUUGUUGGGAAAGAAAAGCAGCAGGUUAAUACCCCGCUGUUCUGACGGUACCCAAAGAAUAAGCACCGGCUAACCUCGUG
rnacentral:rRNA from 1 species